GAUGAUUGAGGAAGGUGGGAACAAGCGGAAGACCAUGGCAGAGAAGAGACAGCUCUUCAUAGAAAUGCGUGCUCAGAAUUUUGACGUGAUACGACUGUCAACGUACAGAACAGCUUGCAAGUUACGAUUCGUGCAGAAGCGAUGCAACCUCCAUCUCGUUGAUAUCUGGAACAUGAUUGAAGCUUUCCGAGACAAUGGCCUUAACACGCUGGACCACAGCACCGAGAUCAGUGUGUCCCGCCUGGAGACCGUCAUCUCUUCCAUCUACUAUCAGUUGAACAAGCGCCUUCCUUCUACUCACCAAAUCAGCGUGGAGCAGUCCAUCAGUCUCCUCCUCAACUUUAUGAUCGCCGCGUACGACAGUGAGGGCCGAGGCAAGUUGACCGUAUUUUCAGUUAAAGCUAUGUUAGCAACCAUGUGUGGUGGAAAAAUGCUGGACAAAUUGAGAUACAUUUUCUCCCAGAUGUCAGACUCCAGUGGCUUAAUGAUAUUUGGCAAGCUUGACCAGUUUCUGAAGGAAGCCCUGAAGCUCCCAACAGCUGUCUUUGAAGGGCCGUCCUUUGGUUACACGGAACACGCCGCCCGCACCUGUUUUCCACAGCAGAAGAAGAUAAUGCUGAAUAUGUUUUUGGAUACCAUGAUGGCCGACCCUCCUCCCCAGUGCCUUGUCUGGCUACCUCUCAUGCACAGGCUUGCCCAUGUUGAGAAUGUCUUCCAUCCUGUGGAAUGCUCCUACUGUCACUGCGAGAGCAUGAUGGGCUUCCGCUACCGCUGCCAGCAGUGCCACAACUACCAGCUCUGCCAGAACUGCUUUUGGCGUGGCCAUGCCAGUGGCCCUCACAGCAACCAGCACCAGAUGAAGGAGCAUUCCUCCUGGAAAUCCCCUGCAAAGAAGCUGAGCCAUGCAAUUAGUAAAUCUUUGGGAUGCGUACCCUCCAGAGAACCCCCACAUCCCGUCUUUCCCGAGCAGCCAGAGAAACCACUUGACCUUGCCCAUAUAGUUCCUCCUCGACCUCUGACCAAUAUGAAUGACACCGUGGUUAGCCACAUGUCCUCCGGAGUGCCCACUCCCACCAAGAGGUUACAGUAUAGCCAGGACAUGCCCAAUCUCUUGGCUGAUGAGCAUGCGCUGAUAGCCUCCUAUGUGGCCCGUCUGCAGCACUGCACACGUGUCCUGGACAGCCCUAGCCGACUGGAUGAGGAGCACCGGCUUAUAGCCCGCUAUGCUGCUCGUCUGGCUGCAGAGGCAGGAAACAUGAGUCGUCCUCCCGCUGAUGCCAGCUUCAACUUUGAUGCCAACAAACAGCAGAGGCAGCUCAUUGCAGAACUGGAAAACAAGAACAGAGAGAUCCUGCAGGAGAUCCAGCGCCUGCGGCUGGAGCACGAGCAGGCUUCCCAGCCCACUCCUGAGAAGGCCCAACAGAACCCCACACUGCUGGCGGAGCUGCGCUUGCUGAGGCAGAGGAAAGAUGAGCUGGAGCAGAGGAUGUCAGCGCUGCAGGAGAGUAGGCGGGAGCUGAUGGUGCAGCUGGAGGGGCUGAUGAAGCUGCUGAAGGAGGAAGAGCAAAAACAGGCAGCUCAAGCCACAGGGUCACCACACACAUCACCCACUCAUGGAGGAGGCCGCCCUAUGCCCAUGCCCGUGCGCUCCACAUCUGCCGGCUCCACCCCGACCCACGGCCCACAGGACUCACUGAGUGGAGUUGGGGGAGAUGUUCAGGAGGCCUUUGCACAAGGUUCGAGGAGGGACCUCCGCAAUGACCUGCUGGUGGCUGCUGACUCCAUUACCAGCACCAUGUCAUCCCUGGUGAAGGAGCUCCAUUCAGGAGAGCUUACACAUGUAUCCUGAUUGGCUUUCCCAGCUCAGGUUAGCUGAGGAGCCGCCAGGACACAAGAAGCUCAGGCACAGAGGCGGAGGAGCAAGCUGGCACCGACAAGACAAGGGAAGGCCUUCCC